rnacentral:lncRNA from 1 species
CUCUUUUAUUAUUAUUAUUUUUUAAUGUUUUAAUUUUUGAGAGGGACAGAGUGCUUACAGAAGAGGGACAGAGAGAGAGGGAGACACAGAAUCCGAAGCAGGCUCCAGGCUCCGAGCUGUCAGCACAGAGCCCGACGCGGGGCUGGAACUCACGAACGGCCAGAUCACCACCUGAGCCGAAGCCUGAUGCUUAACCAGCUGAGCCACCCAGGUGCCUCUGAUUUCAGAUCUUUCAUAGUUGGCAGAGAAAAACGGUGCAGAUUGCUUUCUUUGACUUGACAAUACAGUGACUAGAGAGUCAUGAGAAUAAUUUUCUAAUUUCCUGAUUGCCUUUGGAACGUAUUAAAUAGGGAAAAGCACUCUUCACCAUCCCUCUGGCAACUUCCAAGGCACAGCAUAUAUUCCUUGUUCUUUAGCUGAUUCUUUAGAAGUACGUUUAGGUAUCUUCAGGUAAGGACAACCCUGAAGGAUUUCUAUUUUCCUUUUCUGCUCCUGUUCCAGACUGCCUCAGGAGUAAUGUCCCAGGAGCUCCCGCCUCAAGCUGUGCUGCAGUUUUCUGUGUAAACAGAUUGCAGAUCUGCAUUGUCGCCUGUGCGGCACAGGUUGAGAGUCUGAUGGCAGAAACUGGUAGCUUGCGCCUUCUGGAUAUUGAUACCUGUUCUGUGGUGGAAAAAAAAUUAAAGCAGGCCCUGUUAUUCUGGCGUGACUGAGAAGCUCUCGUUUUCAGAUAUCUCAAAAGCAUGAUUUCCUUUUUUUCACAGCUAUCAGAUUCGGGGGCGCUGGCACAAAGCAUCACCAGCACCAUUAGCGAAUAGAUUAUGUCACUGCGUUCUUCGAUUCUGAGGGCCAUAGUGAACCACUGCUGCCAGCAAUCCGCAGCGCCCACAAGGCCCUCUCGCUGCGCCCCAACCGCCAAAGCGGGCGCCCGACCUCGUCAUAACCGCCCAACCGGCGCCGCCGUCCAGCGGGACCCGGUGUCCCCAGGAGAACCCGCAGCUUGGCAGGCAGCGGUUGCCUGGUCGAGGCAAGAUGUCACCGGGCUGCGGGACGACGUGGGGCCGCGAUGUCAGCAACCUGACGGCCGAGGGGGAGCCGUGCCGCACUGGGCCCUGAGCCUUUCGUGUUCCGGGUCGGCCCCUGCGUGGAUCCUCUCCUUGGUCGCGCAGUGUUCCAGCCCGAGCGGUUUACAAAAGGCACCUUCCCAUCUCAGGGGUCGCUGGGUCAGGGCCCUUCAUUGUGUCAGCGCCAACACGAGAAAGGAGAGCAGUUCUGAGCUUUUGGAAGUCUCCCGUCUGAUAAUACGCAUGAUGUCCUUGGAGUAA